rfam:Glycine soja cultivar W05 scaffold230_121, whole genome shotgun sequence.
UUCUGAUUUCCCUUGUUACACAUUCUGAUUGGAUGUUGACUCUAUCGAUUAUGAAAAUGUAUUGUUGUUGUCAACUUUCAAUCAAACGUGACACGUGACAAUCAAUAUUC